GCUGGGUGUAAUGGCAUACACCUGUAAUCCCAGCAGCUUUGGAGGCUGAGGCAGGAGGAUCACAAGUUCAAUACUAGGCUUAGCAACUUAGUAAGGCCCUGACUGAGACUCUGUCUGGA
rnacentral:sRNA from 1 species